rnacentral:rRNA from 1 species
UCGGGUGGCCAUGGCGAGGAGGAAACACCCGUUCCCAUUCCGAACACGGCAGUUAAGCUCCUCAGCGGCGGAAGUACUUGAGCCGCAGGGCUCCGGCAGAUAGGCACGCUGCCCGGA